UCUCCCUUAGCUCAGUGGUAGAGCGCGACACUAGUAAAAUACCAUAUCGAGAUGUCGAGGUCAGUCGUUCAAAUCGGCUAGGGAGAA